rnacentral:lncRNA from 1 species
GAUGGGCACUGUCCUCUGAGCUGCACUCUUUCCAGCAUCUCUACGAGCCCUGAGAGCCCAGCACAGCCUGCUAGGCACAGGUCUGUCCUGGGAGGUUCUGAGCAUCCAACCUUCUGGUGACCUGCUGCCCUGGGCAGUUGCACCAGGGCUCCAGGGCGCAUGGAUCCAGGACGGAUGCUCUGGGUAGAGCCUCCUGGCAGAGCUGAGCUGAGUCUGAGAGUCCUCUUGCCUUUCUGGUUCAUUCUGUGAUGCAGAUCCCGCUAGUAGAUACCAGAGUUUUCACCUUACCUGCCUCACUGGGAAUGGUCCCACUGGAGCUGGGCCUGUUGUUACCAGCGCGACCCCAGGAAAGGAGUUGCCACUCAGAUGCUGUGGCUGAUUC